CUCCCUUUAACGCAAUGGAUAGCGCGUUGGACUUCUAAUCCAAAGGUCGUGGAUUCGAAUUCCACUUGGGAUA
rnacentral:tRNA from 1 species